rnacentral:tRNA from 1 species
UGCAGAUGUUUCUCAGUGGUAGAGCACUUGCCUAGUAUGUGUGAUGUCCUGGGUUCCAUGCCCAGCACUGCAG